rnacentral:rRNA from 1 species
GUUAAGCGACUAAGCGUACACGGUGGAUGCCCUGGCAGUCAGAGGCGAUGAAGGACGUGCUAAUCUGCGAUAAGCGUCGGUAAGGUGAUAUGAACCGUUAUAACCGGCGAUUUCCGAAUGGGGAAACCCAGUGUGAUUCGUCACACUAUCAUUAACUGAAUCCAUAGGUUAAUGAGGCGAACCGGGGGAACUGAAACAUCUAAGUACCCCGAGGAAAAGAAAUCAACCGAGAUUCCCCCAGUAGCGGCGAGCGAACGGGGAGCAGCCCAGAGCCUGAAUCAGUGUGUGUGUUAGUGGAAGCGUCUGGAAAGGCGCGCGAUACAGGGUGACAGCCCCGUACACAAAAAUGCACAUGCUGUGAGCUCGAUGAGUAGGGCGGGACACGUGGUAUCCUGUCUGAAUAUGGGGGGACCAUCCUCCAAGGCUAAAUACUCCUGACUGACCGAUAGUGAACCAGUACCGUGAGGGAAAGGCGAAAAGAACCCCGGCGAGGGGAGUGAAAAAGAACCUGAAACCGUGUACGUACAAGCAGUGGGAGCACGCUUAGGCGUGUGACUGCGUACCUUUUGUAUAAUGGGUCAGCGACUUAUAUUCUGUAGCAAGGUUAACCGAAUAGGGGAGCCGAAGGGAAACCGAGUCUUAACUGGGCGUUAAGUUGCAGGGUAUAGACCCGAAACCCGGUGAUCUAGCCAUGGGCAGGUUGAAGGUUGGGUAACACUAACUGGAGGACCGAACCGACUAAUGUUGAAAAAUUAGCGGAUGACUUGUGGCUGGGGGUGAAAGGCCAAUCAAACCGGGAGAUAGCUGGUUCUCCCCGAAAGCUAUUUAGGUAGCGCCUCGUGAAUUCAUCUCCGGGGGUAGAGCACUGUUUCGGCAAGGGGGUCAUCCCGACUUACCAACCCGAUGCAAACUGCGAAUACCGGAGAAUGUUAUCACGGGAGACACACGGCGGGUGCUAACGUCCGUCGUGAAGAGGGAAACAACCCAGACCGCCAGCUAAGGUCCCAAAGUCAUGGUUAAGUGGGAAACGAUGUGGGAAGGCCCAGACAGCCAGGAUGUUGGCUUAGAAGCAGCCAUCAUUUAAAGAAAGCGUAAUAGCUCACUGGUCGAGUCGGCCUGCGCGGAAGAUGUAACGGGGCUAAACCAUGCACCGAAGCUGCGGCAGCGACACUGUGUGUUGUUGGGUAGGGGAGCGUUCUGUAAGCCUGCGAAGGUGUGCUGUGAGGCAUGCUGGAGGUAUCAGAAGUGCGAAUGCUGACAUAAGUAACGAUAAAGCGGGUGAAAAGCCCGCUCGCCGGAAGACCAAGGGUUCCUGUCCAACGUUAAUCGGGGCAGGGUGAGUCGACCCCUAAGGCGAGGCCGAAAGGCGUAGUCGAUGGGAAACAGGUUAAUAUUCCUGUACUUGGUGUUACUGCGAAGGGGGGACGGAGAAGGCUAUGUUGGCCGGGCGACGGUUGUCCCGGUUUAAGCGUGUAGGCUGGUUUUCCAGGCAAAUCCGGAAAAUCAAGGCUGAGGCGUGAUGACGAGGCACUACGGUGCUGAAGCAACAAAUGCCCUGCUUCCAGGAAAAGCCUCUAAGCAUCAGGUAACAUCAAAUCGUACCCCAAACCGACACAGGUGGUCAGGUAGAGAAUACCAAGGCGCUUGAGAGAACUCGGGUGAAGGAACUAGGCAAAAUGGUGCCGUAACUUCGGGAGAAGGCACGCUGAUAUGUAGGUGAAGUCCCUCGCGGAUGGAGCUGAAAUCAGUCGAAGAUACCAGCUGGCUGCAACUGUUUAUUAAAAACACAGCACUGUGCAAACACGAAAGUGGACGUAUACGGUGUGACGCCUGCCCGGUGCCGGAAGGUUAAUUGAUGGGGUCAGCGCAAGCGAAGCUCUUGAUCGAAGCCCCGGUAAACGGCGGCCGUAACUAUAACGGUCCUAAGGUAGCGAAAUUCCUUGUCGGGUAAGUUCCGACCUGCACGAAUGGCGUAAUGAUGGCCAGGCUGUCUCCACCCGAGACUCAGUGAAAUUGAACUCGCUGUGAAGAUGCAGUGUACCCGCGGCAAGACGGAAAGACCCCGUGAACCUUUACUAUAGCUUGACACUGAACAUUGAGCCUUGAUGUGUAGGAUAGGUGGGAGGCUUUGAAGUGUGGACGCCAGUCUGCAUGGAGCCGACCUUGAAAUACCACCCUUUAAUGUUUGAUGUUCUAACGUUGACCCGUGAUCCGGGUUGCGGACAGUGUCUGGUGGGUAGUUUGACUGGGGCGGUCUCCUCCUAAAGAGUAACGGAGGAGCACGAAGGUUGGCUAAUCCUGGUCGGACAUCAGGAGGUUAGUGCAAUGGCAUAAGCCAGCUUGACUGCGAGCGUGACGGCGCGAGCAGGUGCGAAAGCAGGUCAUAGUGAUCCGGUGGUUCUGAAUGGAAGGGCCAUCGCUCAACGGAUAAAAGGUACUCCGGGGAUAACAGGCUGAUACCGCCCAAGAGUUCAUAUCGACGGCGGUGUUUGGCACCUCGAUGUCGGCUCAUCACAUCCUGGGGCUGAAGUAGGUCCCAAGGGUAUGGCUGUUCGCCAUUUAAAGUGGUACGCGAGCUGGGUUUAGAACGUCGUGAGACAGUUCGGUCCCUAUCUGCCGUGGGCGCUGGAGAACUGAGGGGGGCUGCUCCUAGUACGAGAGGACCGGAGUGGACGCAUCACUGGUGUUCGGGUUGUCAUGCCAAUGGCACUGCCCGGUAGCUAAAUGCGGAAGAGAUAAGUGCUGAAAGCAUCUAAGCACGAAACUUGCCCCGAGAUGAGUUCUCCCUGACUCCUUGAGAGUCCUGAAGGAACGUUGAAGACGACGACGUUGAUAGGCCGGGUGUGUAAGCGCAGCGAUGCGUUGAGCUAACCGGUACUAAUGAACCGUGAGGCUUAACCUUACAACGCCGAAGG